rnacentral:rRNA from 1 species
UACGGAGGAUCCGAGCGUUAUCCGGAAUUAUUGGGUUUAAAGGGUGCGUAGGCGGCUUUUUAAGUCAGCGGUGAAAUUUUGCAGCUUAACUGUAACAGUGCCGUUGAUACUGGGGAGCUAGGAUUUGGUUGCUGUGGGUGGAAUGUGUGGUGUAGCGGUGAAAUGCUUAGAGAUCACACAGAAUAUCGAUUGCGAAGGCAGCCCACAAAGCCAAGAUUGACGCUGAGGCACGAAAGUGUGGGGAUCAAACAGGAUUAGAUACCU